CUCCUUCACCUCACACUUCCACCAUUUUCCACCAUUAGAGCAAACCUUCGAAGCUUCCAAUAAUACUACCAAACACCUCACAUCACUCUAAAACUUUCCCUAAACACUAUCUAUCCUCAUUUGAUCAAGAGAUUCCUUGAAGAAGAGCCUCAAAAUUUAGAGUGAGAAAGUGUAGACUUUGGUAAGAACUUGGGCCCGAGCGAGACGAAGAAGUAAGUUGCCUGAUUUCUUUCCAGAAUAAGCGAAGGACUUCAGGCUAAGCUGGGAGUGAGAUUGGACUGGUGCUGAUGGGGGAGAGUUUCAAAUGAUGUAAAUUAAAUUACUAUUUUGCCUCUAUGAUAAUAGAGUCUUGAUGUUUGAAUUAUUUAGUUUCUUUUGAGAUCAAGCGAUAC